AAAGAAAUUUCUUCACCAUCUACCACACUGCGAGGAGUAAUGAGCCAAAUUCUGAUUUCACUUCCACCCAUGUAAGCCCUGAGCUGGCAAAGGAGACUCCUCAGGAUUUACAAGCUGGUAAAAUGAGCUCAGGAUACGGCCCAGUAUACUGCAUGAGUUACCUUUUGCUGUUAGUCCUUGGGCAUAGACAUGUGAAGUACCAAACAAGCUGGUAGAAUAUGACCUGACAAUUCAGCAGGGUGUCAUUGGAUGUCUGAGACAACCACAUCAGGCUGGCAGAUAUGACCUGCCUCUUCUGAAGAUAAAGCUGGAGGCCAGCCAGGAAACUGUAAAGCAGCUACCAUGGCACUAGGCAUCAAUAGUUAGUCAGCUGAACUGAGCCUGAGGCGUCCAAGUUCUCGCUGUAUUUAGCAGAGAUCUACUCGGUACAGUCACCAGAGUCUGGAGGGUGAUUCAAGUUGCCUUACGAUAGACAGCUAGUGGCUAAGCAGCCAAGUUGCUCACUAGAUUUCGAUGAGUGCAUUAACUAGAUCUCCACUAACUCUAAUGUGAGUCUAGAUACCUAGCUUGCGUGUAGAUGGGUAUACGUGGGCACAUGGAGUGUCCUAAUCUCAAAUGGAUUCCUAAGCCUAGGGCUCAACACAGCUGCCUAAACAUUUAGUGUUGUUUCAGACAACCAAGACAUCUAACCACUUUUCAAGGAAAGUAAGGGUCUACUGUACAUUCUGCAUUACAAUUCUGAUUGUUAAGGGAUGUUUUAGACAUGUUUUGGCAUAUCAUCUGUCACUAAGAGGAUAAAUUCAGACAACUGAAUUAGAGUCCGUAACUCCUUCCCUUCCUUCCAUAAAGCCUUCAGCAUGUGCCCCUGCAUUCCAGAUUGCAACGACCCCAGCCUCUAAUAAGAGCUAAGCAUGCUUAAGGUAAUAUUGUAUGCAGAAAUGGACAAUUAAUUAACCAACUGCACAUCCAGUCUGGAUGUUGGGAAAACUCAACUCACUGGAGCCUUUAGCCAACGGCAGUCUCCAUCCUCCCUGUCUCAUCAUCCAUCACCACACUCAUUUAGUGCCUUUUUAAAUCUUUCCUGCCCAUGACUGCAUUUACAAAAUAGAUUAUCAGGGGCAACCAACCUCAGACUGCCCAGAAGAGGGUCAGAUUAAUAACUGGGAGGGGGUGCUCCCAAACUGUCAAGGGCAAUCAGAAUUAAUGCUUGACAGGAAAUAAAACCAAGCAGAUGAAAGCCAAGAAACUGGGGACUUCCCUAAGGGAUGAUGAAAA